rnacentral:rRNA from 1 species
UACAGGGGGUGCAAACGUUGCUCGGAAUCAUUGGGCGUAAAGCGCACGUAGGCGGUCUGUUAUGUCGGAUGUGAAAGCCCUUGGCUUAACUGAGGAAGUGCAUCCGAAACUACUUGGCUAGAGUACUGGAGAGGGAAACGGAAUUCACGGUGUAGCAGUGAAAUGCGUAGAUAUCGUGAGGAACACCAGAGGCGAAGGCGGUUUCCUGGACAGUUACUGACGCUCAGGCACGAAAGCGUGGGGAGCAAAAGGG